rnacentral:lncRNA from 1 species
AAAAAACAAAGAAAUACUGCUUACUACACAGUUGGACUCUCUUAAAAGACUUAUAAAAGAAAAACAGGAUGAAGUUGUCUAUUACGAUCCAUGUGAAAGUCCAGAGGAACUUAGUCAUUGACUGUGGUGGGGCUGCAGGACGAUAAGAAUUUGGAAGUGAAAGAACUCAGAAGGCAGUGCCAGCAGCUGGAGUCUAUUAAACGGGGCAGGAUCUGUGUCAAAAGAGCUUCUCUCCAGAGUAGAAAGGAUCAGUGCAAAGAAAAUCAUUGGCUCAGAUUGCAACAGGCUGAAGAAAGCAUAAGAUAUUCUCGUCAGCAUCACAGUAUUCAGAUGAAAAGAGACAAGAUAAAAAGGAGCAAAAGAAAAAAGAAUGGAUCAACCAAGAAAGUCAAACACUCCAACGAUUGAGAGCAUUUAAAGAUGUAAGUUCUGUAAACAAUCACCUCAUCUACACUUCUGGGGAAUUAUGAAGACCGCUCUAAAGAGGAAAGUAUUAAGAACAGGUCAUUCAGAACGUGAAACAUUUAAAAAGUAACAUUAUUUCUGGUAUAUCAAUAAAAAGCAACAACAAAAAUAGAAUAUCAGUGAUUCAAAACCCAUGAUAUAAAAUAACUGCUGUUUUUGACAUCACAACACGCUUGGGUUCCUGCUCUGCACUCUUCACUGAGUAGUCCUUACUGGCACUGGUGGUUUAGAUUGGCAGGGAAAACUGAAAACUGUUCAACUCCCUUGACUUUAGCUGGCAUUUCCUCUCAUUUGUAAUAAACAAUUCUUUAAAAUGUUAUCCAGGCAGCAUUGUGAUAUAAGUGUAGUGAAAGUGCCCAGUUAAAAGUAAAAUGUGUUGUUUUUUUUUUUUUUUUGAUAUCUACAACUUUCUUUU